AGUGAACGCUGGCGGUAGGCCUAACACAUGCAAGUCGAACGGCAGCACAGUAAGAGCUUGCUCUUACGGGUGGCGAGUGGCGGACGGGUGAGGAAUACAUCGGAAUCUACUUUUUCGUGGGGGAUAACGUAGGGAAACUUACGCUAAUACCGCAUACGACCUACGGGUGAAAGCAGGGGUUCUUCGGACUUUGCGCGAUUGAAUGAGCCGAUGUCGGAUUAGCUAGUUGGCGGGGUAAAGGCCCACCAAGGCGACGAUCCGUAGCUGGUCUGAGAGGAUGAUCAGCCACACUGGAACUGAGACACGGUCCAGACUCCUACGGGAGGCAGCAGUGGGGAAUAUUGGACAAUGGGCGCAAGCCUGAUCCAGCCAUACCGCGUGGGUGAAGAAGGCCUUCGGGUUGUAAAGCCCUUUUGUUGGGAAAGAAAAGCAGCAGGUUAAUACCCCGCUGUUCUGACGGUACCCAAAGAAUAAGCACCGGCUAACUUCGUG
rnacentral:rRNA from 1 species